rnacentral:rRNA from 1 species
UGGGGAAUAUUGGACAAUGGGGGCAACCCUGAUCCAGCCAUGCCGCGUGUGUGAAGAAGGCCUUAGGGUUGUAAAACACUUUCAGCGGGGAAGAUGAUGACGGUACCCGCAGAAGAAGCCCCGGCUAACUCCGUGCCAGCAGCCGCGGUAAUACGGAGGGGGCUAGCGUUGUUCGGAAUUACUGGGCGUAAAGGGCGCGUAGGCGGCAAUUCAAGUCAUCUGUGAAAUCUCCGGGCUUAACUCGGAACGGUCAGAUGAUACUGCUUUGCUAGAGUGCAGAAGGGGCAAUCGGAAUUCUUGGUGUAGCGGUGAAAUGCGUAGAUAUCAAGAGGAACACCUGAGGUGAAGACGGGUUGCUGGGCUGACACUGACGCUGAGGCGCGAAAGCCAGGGGAGCAAACGGGAUUAGAUACCCGGGUAGUCCCUGAGCGGGCUGGCAAGGCGCAU